rnacentral:rRNA from 1 species
GUGAGGAAUAUUGGGCAAUGCCCGCAAGGGUGACCCAGCAACGCCGCGUGGAGGAUGAAUGUCGUAAGAUUGUAAACUCCUGUUAGAGGGGAAGAAUAGUACCGGUUGGACCGGUAUAUGACUGUACCCUCAGAGAAAGCCCCGGCUAACUACGUGCCAGCAGCCGCGGUAAUACGUAGGGGGCAAGCGUUGUCCGGAUUUACUGGGUGUAAAGGGCGCGCAGGCGGGAUAAAAAGUCAGUGGUGAAAUCCUACAGCUUAACUGUAGAACUGCCUUUGAUACUCUUAUUCUUGAGUUCGGGAGAGAGAGACGGAAUUCCAGGUGUAGUGGUGAAAUACGUAGAUAUCUGGAAGAACACCAGUUGCGAAGGCGGUCUCUUGGUCCGACACUGACGCUGAGGCGCGAAAGCGUGGGGAGCAAACAG